ensembl:lncRNA
GGAAACACAGGACCUGAACAGGAGGUUAACUGCCUGCAGGUCUAGAGACAUCCAUCCCUCCAGCUCCCUCCAGUGAAACACAGCCUGCUGAAGAAACUACACCACUAAUGUCCAGUGAAUCUCCUGCACCAACCGGGGACCAACAAGAACACACUUCAAGAACAAGUACCCCUGAUGUAACUAUGGAUGGUCAUGAUGAUGACCAGAGUCUGGAUGCCCUCGCCUACCGGUCUGGUACUGGACAGCUAGACAUUGAGAUGGGUCCAGUCCAAACGCUGCCCAAAGAUCGUAACAGGAUUCUUUAAUAUCGCUAUUAGACCCAUGUUUCCUAUCGACCCUGAUUCACUAUUGAAGGGGAAUGACAUAACAGGAGACAAAGUAACGCAGUUCGAGAAAUUCUGGAUCAACAUGAAAGUGAAUCUGAUGGUUCAAACUCAGAAACUAGAGGAGGAAAUACACCAGUCUGAUUCCUUCCUGAUGCCAGCUUUGAAAGGAGAAGAGGCGUGGUGUGUUUAACAUCAUGAUUUGAUCAAUCCUCACAUUAUUCUUCUAUAUGUGGCUCACAGAGCAAAGACAAGCGAGGUGUUAAUAAAUAGUGUGAGGUGUGCUCUGUGAGGCGUCCUGGGAUAUGAUGGGUAACGUUGGCUUGGGUCCAAGCUCCACCUCUCUUGGGCGACCGCCGAGGAUGAUGUACAGGGAAUGAUGAUAUGGAGAUGGAGAUGUUGGGUGAGCGGAGCCACAUGUCUUUGAGAGAAUUUUUUUCGUGAUAUUUUUUUUAAAUGUCGUAUUAAUUUUUUUUGCAUUAUUCUUACCAUUUGAUUAAAAUGUUUUAAAGUUCAAAAGCUUUAUUUAAGAUUUUAUCAUGAGAAAGUCACGUGACACUAAAGUCACCCUCACAGUCUACAUGUGAUGAGUGCACGUCAUUGAGAGACAUGAAGUGCAUACUUCUU